rnacentral:rRNA from 1 species
UACGAAGGUGGCAAGCGUUGUUCGGAUUUACUGGGCGUACAGGGAGCGUAGGCGGUUGGAUAAGCCCUCCGUGAAAUCUCCAGGCUUAACCUGGAAAGUGCAGAGGGGACUGUUCAGCUAGAGGAUGGGAGAGGAGCGCGGAAUUCCCGGUGUAGCGGUGAAAUGCGUAGAGAUGUGGAGGAACACCAAUGGCGAAGGCAGCCUUCUGGGCCAACACUGACGCUCAUGCACGAAAGCGUGGGGAGCAAACAGG